AAUAGAUACCCGGGUAGUCCACGCCGUAAACGAUGAGUGCUAAGUGUUAGGGGGUUUCCGCCCCUUAGUGCUGCAGCUAACGCAUUAAGCACUCCGCCUGGGGAGUACGGUCGCAAGACUGAAACUCAAAGGAAUUGACGGGGGCCCGCACAAGCGGUGGAGCAUGUGGUUUAAUUCGAAGCAACGCGAAGAACCUUACCAGGUCUUGACAUCCCAUUGACCACUAUGGAGACAUAGUUUUCCCUUCGGGGACAACGGUGACAGGUGGUGCAUGGUUGUCGUCAGCUCGUGUCGUGAGAUGUUGGGUUAAGUCCCGCAACGAGCGCAACCCUUGUUCUUAGUUGCCAUCAUUUUAGUUUGGGCACUCUAAGGAGACUGCCGGUGACAAACCGGAGGAAGGUGGGGAUGACGUCAAAUCAUCAUGCCCCUUAUGACCUGGGCUACACACGUGCUACAAUGGACGGUACAAACGGUUGCCAACCCGCGAGGGGAGCUAAUCCGAUAAAACCGUUCUCAGUUCGGAUUGUAGGCUGCAACUCGCCUACA
rnacentral:rRNA from 1 species